rnacentral:lncRNA from 1 species
CUAGUGCACGAGGCUCCUGAAACGGUGCUAAAGGAAUAUUAACAAGAGCACGCCGCUUCAGAGAGCAGCUUUCAGCACGCUGUCAAAUGCACGUCGGUGGGGCUGUGGGCAUGCUGGGUGGCUGGGGGCUAGCUGUGGCCAUCAGUGCUCCUCAUCAGGCUGCCACUUCGAAUCUGCGCCAGGCCAAGUCGAUGAGAUGUCUGCCUGUGAGAAACGAGCUGCUGGAAUCAGCCAUCGCCCACGAGACAAUGUCUGCAGCCCAGGAAUGCUCUGGAAGGGGGGUUUUGCUAAAACUCUGAAGAAUUCCCUUCGUGCUGCACAACAUUUUGUGCCUUCCCGUCUUUAUCACAGCCAAUGAGCCAACAAUCACAGCUCUGCCAUGCCUGUAGCGUGGACUCUGGCCUCUCCGAUUGCACACAGCAUGGCAGGUGAUGUUUCUGGGCGGUGCAAUAGCUCCAUGCAUUGCUCCUGCGUCCCGUGACAGCUGCUGUGGAGCUGGAGCCUCGGACGUCCCUGGUGGAGCGAGCUAAGCUAUCUGAUGUGCUCCCUGAGGAUCUUUGCUGGUGGCAUGUCAGCAGCAAUACGCUGAGAGGAACUCGGCUGAAAGAGACAACAUUUAGACGUGCUCCCUGCAGAUGCCCGGAGAGCAGGUUUGGAAGGGCUGCUUGGGCGUGUGGAAGGAGCAGGAACUGUCAGACCUGCUGUCAGUGUGCUGGUGGGGCUGGGGUCUCCCUGGCCACCUACAGACCCUCAUGAGUCCCUUCCAACUUGGGGCGUUCUGUGAUGCUAUGGUUCUUCCCUGCAGCCACAGGAGAGCAGUGCCAGUGCGACUCUUCAUCCAGAGCUGUGUGCAGGCUGUUGUGCUGCUGUGUGUCAGCCUGAGAAUGACUGUGAGCUGCGUGCUGUUGGUCCAGCUGUUUCUGUCAG